AAUGAACGUUGGCGGCGUGGAUUAGGCAUGCAAGUCGAGCGCGAACCUCGCAAGAGGUAAGAGCGGCGAAAGGGAGAGUAACGCGUGGGUAUCUACCCUCGGGACUGGGAUAGCUGCGGGAAACUGCAGGUAAUACCAGAUGACGUCCCCGGACCAAAGGUGUGAUUCCGCCUGAGGAUGAGCCCGCGUCCUAUUAGCUUGUUGGUGGGGUAAUGGCCUACCAAGGCAAUGAUGGGUACUGGGUGUGAGAGCACGACCCAGCUCACUGGGACUGAGACACUGCCCAGACACCUACGGGUGGCUGCAGUCGAGAAUCUUCGGCAAUGGGCGAAAGCCUGACCGAGCGACGCCGCGUGUGGGAUGAAGGCCUUCGGGUUGUAAACCGCUGUCAGAGGGGAGGAAUGGGCGGAGGGUAAUCUCUUCGUUUUGACCUAUCCUCAGAGGAAGUACGGGCUAAGUUCGUGCCAGCCGCCGCGGUAACAC
rnacentral:rRNA from 1 species